rnacentral:misc_RNA from 1 species
AAAAUAAUCCUACCCUUUGUGAAUUUUGUUUGUUUGAAUAAUUUUUUUUUUUUAAAAAAUUAUUGGAGUCUUUCCCUUUAGAGUUUGCUUUUGAGUUUGUAAAAGAAUUCGAAAACAUCUAAAGGGGAUGGUCAAUAAUUUUUUUUGAAAAAAGACAUUUUUUAAAAUUAAACUUUUUGUAUUCAUUUGUCUAAAAAUUAUUUUUAUAAUAUAAAAACAACUUUUGACAAUGGAUCUCUUGGUUCUCGCAACGAUGAAGAACGCAGCAAAAUGCGAUAAGUAGUGUGAAUUGCAGAAUACGUGAAUCAUCGAAUCUUUGAACGCAUAUUGCACUUUUUUAGUUUACUAAAAAAGUAUGUCUGUUUGAGUAUCAGUAAAAUAUUCUCAUAAAAAUCAUUGGUAUUUUUAUGGUUAUGAGUGUUUUACAACGAUACAAGUUGUUUCACUUUAAAUUUUUUUUUAAUAUUGAAAUUUUUCUAAUUUUAAUAAUUAAAAUUGGAUAAAAUUUUCCCGUCAAAAGGAAUAACCUAAACAAUUUUAAACGAUUAAUUUUAGCAAAAUUUUCGUAAAAAAGGAAAUUUUUUAUUAAAAUAACUUGAUCUCAAAUCAGAUAAGAGUACCCGCUGAACUUAAGCAUAUCAAUAAGCGGAGGAAAAGAAACUAACAAGGAUUCCCUUAGUAACGGCGAGUGAAGCGGGAAGAGCUCAAAUUUGAAAUCUUCAGGGUUUUACCUUGACGAAUUGUAGUUUAAAGAAGUGUUUUCUGCUGAAGUUUUGGUAAAAGUUCUUUGGAAUAGGACAUCAUAGAGGGUGAGAAUCCCGUAUUUGACCAUUAUUUUCAGCUUUGUGAUACACUUUCAAAGAGUCGGAUUGUUUGGGAAUGCAGUCCAAAAUGGGUGGUAAAUUUCAUCUAAAGCUAAAUAUUGGCGAGAGACCGAUAGCGAACAAGUACCGUGAGGGAAAGAUGAAAAGAACUUUGAAAAGAGAGUUAAACAGUACGUGAAAUUGUCAAAAGGGAAGCGUUUGACACCAGUGUUGUUUUCUCGAAAAUCAAUUAAAAAUGGCUCGAUUUUGUAUUGCUGAGACCUUAAAAGCUCACUGUACAUUUUUCGUGUCUUUUUUAAUGCACUUUUCGUUUAACAAGUCAACAUCAGUUUCUUUUGUUGUAAAAGGGUCAUUGGAAGGUGGCUUUCUUUUCGGAGAAAGUGUUUAUAGCCUUUGGCCUCUGCAAUCGGAGAGACUGAGGUCUGCAGCGUAGACUCUUCGGGGUUAGAUACAUUUGUGCUAAGUUAUAGCUUUUUAUAGACAACUUGUUGACUAUAAUUAGUCUUGUAGCCUACUCGCUUAUGCUAUUUUACCUACGCUUAGGAUG